rnacentral:rRNA from 1 species
GUCUACUGCCAUACCACCCUGAACGUGCCCGAUCUCCUCUGAUCUCGGAAGCUAAGCAGGGUUGGGCCUGGUUAGUACUUGGAUGGGAGACCGCCUGGGAAUACCAGGUGCUGUAAGCU